GUGCUUGCUUCAGCAGCACAUAUACUAAAAUUGGAACCCUACAGAGAAUAUUAGCAUGGCCCCUGCACAAGGAUGACAUGCAAAUUAUUGAAGCAUUCCACAUUUUU
rnacentral:snRNA from 1 species